rnacentral:rRNA from 1 species
GGGGCAUCCCUCGGCGGUUAAAGAUUCAUCGGCUGCGGAUGGCCAUGCGGCGCAUUAGCUAGUCGGCGGGGUAACGGCCCACCGAGGCGACGAUGCGUAGGGGUUCUGAGAGGAAGGUCCCCCACACUGGUACUGAGACACGGACCAGACUCCUACGGGAGGCAGCAGUGAGGAAUAUUGGUCAAUGGCCGGGAGGCUGAACCAGCCAAGUCGCGUGAGGGAAGACGGCCCUACGGGUUGUAAACCUCUUUUGUCAGGGAGCAAGAGGCGGGUCGAGACCUGCUGUGAGAGUACCUGAAGAAAAAGCAUCGGCUAACUCCGUGCCAGCAGCCGCGGUAAUACGGAGGAUGCGAGCGUUAUCCGGAUUUAUUGGGUUUAAAGGGUGCGCAGGCGGAGGCACAAGUCAGCGGUAAAAUCGCGGGGCUCAACCCCGCUCCGCCGUUGAAACUGUGUCCCUUGAGUGCGCGAAGGGUAGGCGGAAUGCGUGGUGUAGCGGUGAAAUGCAUAGAUAUCACGCAGAACUCCGAUCGCGAAGGCAGCCUACCGGCGCGCAACUGACGCUCAUGCACGAAAGCGUGGGUAUCGAACAGGAUUAGAUACCCUGGUAGUCCACGCAGUAAACGAUGAAUGCUAUCUGUCCGGCCGGAAUGACGGCUGGGUGGCACAGCGAAAGC